GAUGAACGCUGGCGGCGUGCCUAUACCUGCAAGUCGAGCGCACAGACGAGGAGCUUGCUCCUCUGACGUUAGCGGCGGACGGGUGAGUAACACGUGGAUAACCUACCUAUAAGCCUGGGAUAACUUCGGGAAACCGGAGCUAAUACCGGAUAAUAUAUUGAACCGCAUGGUUCAAUAGUGAAAGACGGUUUUGCUGUCACUUAUAGAUGGAUCCGCGCCGCAUUAGCUAGUUGGUAAGGUAACGGCUUACCAAGGCAACGAUGCGUAGCCGACCUGAGAGGGUGAUCGGCCACAGUGGAGCUGAGACACGGUCCAGAGUCCUACGGGAGGCAGCAGUAGGGACUGUGCCGCAAGGGGCGAAGGCUUGACGGAGGAGCGCCGCGUGAGUGAUGAAGGUCCUCGGAUCGUACAACUCUGUGAUUAGGGGUGAACAAAUGUGUAGGUAGCUAUGCACGUCUGGACGGUACCUACUCAGAAAGGCACGGCGAGCUACGGG
rnacentral:rRNA from 1 species